rnacentral:rRNA from 1 species
UACGUAGGGGGCAAGCGUUGUCCGGAAUUAUUGGGCGUAAAGAGCGUGUAGGCGGUCCGGUAAGUCGGCUGUGAAAGUCCAGGGCUCAACCCUGGGAUGCCGGUGGAUACUGUCGAGCUCGAGUCCGGAAGAGGCGAGUGGAAUUCCUGGUGUAGCGGUGAAAUGCGCAGAUAUCAGGAGGAACACCAAUGGCGAAGGCAGCUCGCUGGGACGUGACUGACGCUGAGACGCGAAAGCGUGGGGAGCAAACAGA